rnacentral:rRNA from 1 species
GAUGAACGCUAGCGGCAGGCCUAACACAUGCAAGUCGAGGGAGGAGCUUUCGGGCUUCGACCGGCGUACGGGUGCGUAACGCGUAUACAAUCUGCCUUUCACAUAGGGAUAGCCCGAAGAAAUUUGGAUUAAUACCUAAUGGUAUAUAGAGGUGGCAUCACCUUUAUAUUAAAGCUGAGGCGGUGAAAGAUGAGUAUGCGUUCUAUUAGCUAGUUGGAGAGGUAACGGCUCCCCAAGGCGACGAUAGAUAGGGGUUCUGAGAGGGAUAUCCCCCACACUGGUACUGAGAUACGGACCAGACUCCUACGGGAGGAAGCAGUGAGGAAUAUUGGACAAUGGUCGGAAGACUGAUCCAGCCAUGCCGCGUGCAGGAAGACGGCCUUAUGGGUUGUAAACUGCUUUUGCAGGGGAAGAAUAAGGACUACGCGUAGUUUGAUGACGGCACUCUGCGAAUAAGCAUCGGCUAACUCCGUG